CCUACGGGAGACAGCAGUGGGGAAUAUUGCACAAUGGGGGGAACCCUGAUGCAGCGACGCCGCGUGAGUGAAGAAGUAUUUCGGAUUGUAAACUCCUUUUGUUAGAGAAGAUAAUGACGGUAUCUAACGAAUAAGCACCGGCUAACUCCGUGCCAGCAGCCGCGGUAAUACGGAGGGUGCAAGCGUUACUCGGAAUCACUGGGCGUAAAGAGCGCGUAGGCGGGAUAGCAAGUCAGAUGUGAAAUCCUAUGGCUUAACCAUAGAACUGCAUUUGAAACUGUUAUUCUAGAGUAUGGGAGAGGUAGGUGGAAUUCUUGGUGUAGGGGUAAAAUCCGUAGAGAUCAAGAGGAAUACUCAUUGCGAAGGCGACCUGCUAGAACAUAACUGACGCUGAUGCGCGAAAGCGUGGGGAGCAAACAGGAUUAGAUACCCGGGUAGUC
rnacentral:rRNA from 1 species